GAUGAACGCUGGCGGCGUGCCUAAUACAUGCAAGUCGAGCGAACGGACGAGAAGCUUGCUUCUCUGAUGUUAGCGGCGGACGGGUGAGUAACACGUGGAUAACCUACCUAUAAGACUGGGAUAACUUCGGGAAACCGGAGCUAAUACCGGAUGAUAUUUUGAACCGCAUGGUUCAAAAGUGAAAGACGGUCUUGCUGUCACUUAUAGAUGGAUCCGCGCUGCAUUAGCUAGUUGGUAAGGUAACGGCUUACCAAGGCAACGAUGCAUAGCCGACCUGAGAGCGUGAUCGGCCACACUGGAACUGAGACACGGUCCCGACUCCUACGGGAGGCAGCAGUAGGGAAUCUUCCGCAAUGGGCGAAAGCCUGACGGAGCAACGCCGCGUGAGUGAUGAAGGUCUUCGGAUCGUAAAACUCUGUUAUUAGGGAAGAACAUAUGUGUAAGUAACUGUGCACAUCUUGACGGUACCUAAUCAGAAAGCCACGGCUAACUACGUG
rnacentral:rRNA from 1 species